rnacentral:rRNA from 1 species
GACGAACGCUGGCGGCGUGCUUAACACAUGCAAGUCGAGCGGUAAGGCCCUUUCGGGGGUACACGAGCGGCGAACGGGUGAGUAACACGUGGGUGACCUGCCCUCAGCUCUGGGAUAAGCCUGGGAAACCGGGUCUAAUACCGGAUAUGACUCCAUGACGCAUGUUGUGGGGUGGAAAGCCUUGUGCGGCUGAGGAUGGGCCCGCGGCCUAUCAGCUUGUUGGUGGGGUGAUGGCCUACCAAGGCGACGACGGGUAGCCGGCCUGAGAGGGCGACCGGCCACGCUGGGACUGAGACACGGCCCAGACUCCUACGGGAGGCAGCAGUGGGGAAUCUUGCGCAAGUGGGCGAAAGCCUGACGCAGCGACGCCGCGUGA